GGAGAGGUCGCAUAGUGGCCUAGUGCGAGCGCCUGCUAAGCGCUUGGGGGUGUAUAGCCCCCCGAGAGUUCGAAUCUCUCCCUCUCCG
rnacentral:tRNA from 1 species